GGAGGUUUGGGUGAGCGGUUUAAACCAGCAGUCUUGAAAACUGCCGGGGAUGUGAGUCCCCCGUGAGUUCGAAUCUCACAGCCUCCGCCA
rnacentral:tRNA from 1 species